rnacentral:rRNA from 1 species
GUGCAAAGGUAGCGUAAUCACUUGUCUUUUAAAUGAAGACCCGUAUGAAUGGCAUCACGAGGGCUUAGCUGUCUCCCUUUUCCAGUCAAUGAAAUUGACCUCCCCGUGCAGAGGCGGGGAUAAGCACAUAAGACGAGAAGACCCUGUGGAGCUUUAGACCUAAAAUAAACCACAUUUAACAGCCUAUAAAAUUAGAAGUAACUUAGUGAUUUUUAUUGAAGUGUCUUUGGUUGGGGCGACCGCGGGGUAAAACACAACCCCCAUGUGGACCGGGGAUACUAUCCCUAACACCCAGGGCCUCCACCCCAAGUAACAGAACUUCUGACCUUAUGAUCCGGCACAGCCGAUUAACGAACCGAGUUACCCCAGGGAUAACAGCGCAAUCCCCUCUAAGAGCCCAUAUCGACGAGGGGGUUUACGACCUCGA